GGAGGAGGACAAGGAGGCCAAGAAGUCGGAAAAAGCAGACUGGCAGACGAAGAAAUAGUCACACAGACACACAGCAUCCCUAGAACAAAACACUAAAAUUUGUAUCUGUCUCUAAAGUUUUUUUUUAUUUAUCUGGAUGUCAAAUUGAAUUUUGUCCUGACCCAGUCGCAUUCUCAUUAAAUAAUUAAUACAGCAAGUAUUUAUACCUCACACUUUUCGAAUGUUUCUCUUAAACUAAAGCAGUUCGGAACGUGAAACACACACACAAACAGAUUUUUACACUUUUUGAAAUAUUUCUUCUGAAUAUUUAAUGGCGAUAUAUUUUUUGUUUUUGUUUUAUGUUAAUUUUGUUCGUUUUUCGUGUCUUAUUUUGUGGUGUCUUUGUGGCGUGAAUUUUGUGCGAUUGGUGGAUGACGUCAAUGUAGCGUAGCUGUGUUUUGUUUUAUCUAUCAUAUAUUUCCCCACCAAAGUAGAAUAUAAAUUUGUGCCCUCGUAUAUUUUAGAGUUACAGCCUGUUUUCUUUCCGACUUGUUCUUUUCACUUUAACAUACAAAAUAAUGUUGAAUAAGACAGGAGUCAGUUAAGAGUUACCGCAGUUGCAAGAACCCAGUCCGUCAUGGGAGGAGCUUCGGAGAGAAAAAGCCAGAUUGGUCAAAGAAAGGCGAAGAAAAGAAGGUAGGGGAUAAAGAAGUAGAGGCAUAAGUUGGAUAUUUCUACUUUCUCUUUUAUUCGUAUAAAUUUUAAAAGCAGACCUCAUAGGGAGUUUACCGAACACGUGCACUCAGAUAUAUUGCCUGAAAUGAAUUAAAUUACUACUUGGGAAUCAAUCACCUACAGAUGGAGGAAGAAGAACUUAACUACAGCAUCCCGGAAGUAAGAUCUACAACGUUCACUGUGAUUUUAUGUUAUUUUUUUGUUCGUUUUAAAUCUAGGAAUAUUCGAUUUUGUUGUGUUGGCAUGACGCCGUAUACACCUUGUAGUUGUCAGCUGUUCUCUCUGCCCUACUGUAAACAUCUCGGCUCUCCUUGUCAAUAUGUUUUCCACCCCUACAUAUAGGGGGCGCAAAUGAACAUUUGUUGUGUGUAGCAAUGUACAAGGUCAUAAUUAAAGUUACUCAUGUGAUGUUA